CAGCCGCCGCGGUAACACAGAGGGUGCGAGCGUUAAUCGGAUUUACUGGGCGUAAAGCGUGCGUAGGCGGCUUUUUAAGUCGGAUGUGAAAUCCCUGAGCUUAACUUAGGAAUUGCAUUCGAUACUGGGAAGCUAGAGUAUGGGAGAGGAUGGUAGAAUUCCAGGUGUAGCGGUGAAAUGCGUAGAGAUCUGGAGGAAUACCGAUGGCGAAGGCAGCCAUCUGGCCUAAUACUGACGCUGAGGUACGAAAGCAUGUGGAGCAAACAGGAUUAGAUACCCGCGUAGUCCCUGUCUCUUAUAC
rnacentral:rRNA from 1 species